UUGCGUUAAGGAUUGCAGCGACAUCCUUUUUUGUUUUUCUCAAAAAAGAUACAGCGAAAAGCCUGACUUUAC
rnacentral:sRNA from 12 species